rnacentral:rRNA from 1 species
AGCAGCCGCGGUAAUUCCAGCUCCAAUAGCGUAUAUUAAAGUUGUUGCAGUUAAAAAGCUCGUAGUUGAAUUUCGGGGUUCUACCGUUGGUCGGGCUAACCAGUCUGUACUAGCGUGUAAAAUUCCUACCUUCUGGAGAACCAUCAUGUUAUUAAUUUAGCGUGGUGGGAAACCAGGGCCUUUACCUUGAAAAAAUUAGAGUGUUCAAAGCAGGCUUACGUCUGAAUACAUUAGCAUGGAAUAAUAGAAUAGGACGGUGGUCCUGUUUUGUUGGUUUCUGAAUCACCGUAAUGAUUAAUAGGGAUAGUUGGGGGCAUUAGUAUUCAAUUGUCAGAGGUGAAAUUCUUGGAUUUAUUGAAGACUAACUUCUGCGAAAGCAUUUGCCAAGGAUGUUUUCAUUAAUCAAGAACGAAAGUUAGGGGAUCGAAGACGAUCAGAUACCGUCGUAGUCUUAACCAUAAACUAUGCCGACUAGGGAUCGGACGA